rnacentral:lncRNA from 1 species
GCUUCUUUAUUUUACAUCUAAAUUCUUUGAACUAUUCAAAAAUUUUAGAUUUAUAUCUCAUAUACUUACCCAUACCAUGAUUGAUCAUCGGUAAAGGCAACGAAGUAGAAACAACUUCCUUUGUUAGCACAUCACAUGAGCUACACACAUCAAAUGUGUACUAGGAUAAGUAUCUCAAUGAUCCUUUUUUUCUUGUUCUACAAGAGUAGCUUGGUCAUAUUUUCUCAAAGAGAUGAUGCACAAACUAAAUAUAACUC